rnacentral:rRNA from 1 species
UACCAGCUCUCCGAGUGGUAGGGAUGAUUAUUGGGCUUAAAGCGUCCGUAGCCGGCUUAGCAAGUCUCCUGUUAAAUUCAGCGACCUAAUCGUUGAGCCGCGGGAGAUACUACUAGGCUAGGAGGCGGGAGAGGUCGACGGUACUUCUGGGGUAGGGGUGAAAUCCUAUAAUCCCGGGAGGACCACCAGUGGCGAAGGCUGUCGACUAGAACGCGCUCGACGGUGAGGGACGAAAGCUGGGGGAGCGAACCGGAUUAGAUACCCGGGUAGUCCCAGCUGUAAACGAUGCGGGCUAGGUGUUGGGGUGGCUACGUGCCACUUCAGUGCCGCAGGGAAGCCAUUAAGCCCGCCGCCUGGGGAGUACGGCCGCAAGGCUGAACUUAAAGGAAUUGGCGGGGGAGCACCACAAGGCGUGAAGCUUGCGGGUUC